rnacentral:rRNA from 1 species
ACUACGGGGUGCAGCAGUCGAGAAUCAUUCACAAUGGGGGAAACCCUGAUGGUGCGACGCCGCUUGGGGUCCUUCCUUUCUUCUUCUUUUCCCCCCCUUUCCUUUUUUCUCCCCUUAACCAGAUAGUACCACAAGAGGAAUAGCCGGCUACCACUUUGCCAGCAGCCGCGGUAAUACCGCGGUCUCAAGCGUUGUUCGGACGCACUGGGCGUAAAGCGUGCGUAGGCUGGUUCGUAAGUCGUGUGUGAAAGGCGCGGGCUCAACCCGCGGACGGCACAUGAUACUGCGAGACUAGCGUAAUGGAGGGGGAACCGGAAUUCUCGGUGUAGCAGUGAAAUGCGUAGAUAUCGAGAGGAACACUCGUGGCGAAGGCGGGUUCCUGGACAUUAACUGACGCUGAGGCACGAAGGCCAGGGGAGCGAAAGGGAUUAGAGAAAAAAGUAGUC